GACCACUCCCGGACGGGAGUCAAGGCCAUACGGACAGCCGGGUCCACUGCCGA
rnacentral:sRNA from 1 species